rnacentral:rRNA from 1 species
GACGAACGCUGGCGGCGUGGAUUAGGCAUGCAAGUCGAACGGUAUCAUCCUUUCGGGGGUGAGAGAGUGGCGAACUGGUGAGUAACACGUAGGUUAUCUACCCUCAAGACGGGGACAACCCAGGGAAACUUGGGCUAAUACCGGAUGUGAGCAACUUUUAGUUGUUUGAAAGGUGGCGUAAGCUGUCGCUUGGGGAUGAGCCUGCGUCCUAUUAGUUAGUUGGUGAGGUAACGGCUCACCUAGGCAAUGAUAGGUAGGCGGCCUUAACGGGUGGUCGCCCACACUGGGAUUGAGAUACGGCCCAGACUCCUACGGGAGGCAGCAGUCGAGAAUAGUCUACAAUGGUCGGAAGACUGAUAGUGCGACGCCGCGUGAACGAUGAAUCCCUUCGGGGUUAAAGUUCUUUUAAUGUGAGCAGUGCUUUCUAUAUUAACAGUAUGGGGAAGAGAUAUUAGCAUAUGAAUAAGCAACGGCUAACUCCGUGCCAGCAGCCGCGGU